rnacentral:rRNA from 1 species
AUUCAAGCUCUAAUUUGAUCUUUCUAGAAACACUUUCCAGUACUUCUACUAUGUUACGACUUAUUCCAACUUAUUAAUGAAAGCGACGGGCAAUAUGUACAUAUUUCAAUUUUUAAUCAUUUUAAUAAACUAAAUAAAAUUACAUUUAAAUCCACCUUCAAAUAAUUAUUAAAAAAUAUUAUUCAUAUAAUCAUUUCUUAUUGUAAUCCAUUAUAUUCUUAAUUAUAAUCUGCAUCUUGAUCUGAAUUAAUUUAUUUUAAAAAUUUUAAAAUAUUAUUUUUAUUAAAAAAUAUUUUUUUAACAACGAUAUACAAAAUAUAUUAAUUAAGUAAAUUUAUUCGUGGACUAUCAAUUAUUAAACAGAUUCCUCUAAAUGAACUAAAAUACCGCCAAAUUAUUUAAGUUUCAAUAAAUAAUUAUAUACUAUUUUAGUAUUUAUUAAAUUUUAAUAAUAGAGUAUCUAAUUCUAGUUUUUAAUAAAAUUUUAUAAAUCAUAAUUAUUAAUUAAAAUUUUAAUUAAAUUAAAAUUUCACCUAAUAAUUUAAUAUUUAAUUUUAAAAUAUCAAUAUUUAUUAUUUACUAAUAAAAUUUAAAUUAUUUUUUGUUUAACCGCAACUGCUGGCACAAAAUUUGUUAAUAAUCAUUAAAUAUUACUAAAUCUUAAUUUCUUAAAUUUUUAAUAUUAAUUACUAUUAAAUUAAUUUUCAAAAAUUCUUAAAAUAAAUUAAAAAUAUAUACUAAAAUUUAUAUGUAAAAUAAAUUCAAAUUAAACUUUUUAAAUCAUAA